rnacentral:rRNA from 1 species
AAGACCUUGCGCUUUUGGAGCGGCCGAUGUCUGAUUAGCUUGUUGGUGAGGUAAAGGCUUAUCAAGGCUUCGAUCAGUAGCUGGUCUGAGAGGACGGCCAGCCACACUGGGACUGAGACACGGCCCAGACUCCUACGGGAGGCAGCAGUGGGGAAUUUUGGACAAUGGGGGCAACCCUGAUCCAGCCAUGCCGCGUGAGUGAAGAAGGCCUUCGGGUUGUAAAGCUCUUUCAGCCGGAACGAAACGGUUACGGUUAAUACCCGUGACUACUGACGGUACCGGAAGAAGAAGCACCGGCUAACUACGUGCCAGCAGCCGCGGUAAUACGUAGGGUGCAAGCGUUAAUCGGAAUUACUGGGCGUAAAGCGUGCGCAGGUGGUUUUGUAAGUCAGAUGUGAAAUCCCCGGGCUUAACCUGGGAACU